ensembl:lncRNA
CAAUCUAUACAGGCACUGGAAUUGAGCAGAGUAAUUAUAAUAAACAGUUAAGAAACACCAUUCCAUUUUAGACUAUGAGAUGCCAUGGUUUUUUACUAAAAUCACUUGAGUCAUACAACAGAAAAGCAGGAGAGACGUUCGAGACAAAACAAGAUCGUUCAUCAUCGCUGGAGGGGAAGAGAGAUUUUACAGCCAGCUUUAAAAUUAAUCCCAAAUGAGAGAGUCGCCUUCCAAACGAAUUGAAAAUUGGCAGGUCACCUCUCUCCGCGAAGGGACUGUUUCUGUCUACCCACAGCGGAGGGCGCUAGGACCCGGCGCAGAGGCAAGAGGUCGAAAGCAGAGAAGACAAUAAUUUGUUCCAUUGUAAUGAGAACUGUAAGUGUUGGCAAAGGGGAGUUUUUCACAGGCCGCCCUUCUUUCACUAACGAUUUUCAGUGCCUCCUGUUAGCCAACCCGGACGAUUUGUUCAGUUAUUGCAACGGUCAACAGAUCUGAUCUUGCCAAACUCCCCACCCCCCACCCUGAAAAACCCAACCCACCAAGAGUUUAAAUUAAAAAUAUAAGGGAAGGCAAAGCCCAACUCAUCAUCAGCCUAUACAGGAGCAGGAGGGGUUCUGGAGUUGACUGCAUGCAGGAAAUUUCUCACAUCCUGAGUUUUCCCUGCCUGCCUGCUCGCUCGCUCGCUCUGUAACUCAGUGUUCAUGGGGCUGUCCUCCAGUCCCAGCUGAUGAAAAGUUGGGUCUCUCAGCCGGGGCUAAGAUGUCCAAGCCUGCCCGGGCAGAGCAGCAAGGCAAGCCUCCUGCUGUCCACCCUGCAAGCCCGCUCUUCUUCCUACGCCUCAGCCUGACCUGCCUCUUACUCGCCCCCUCUGCCCAGGCUCAAGGGGAUGAAAAAAGUAAAUUGGAAUUCUCUAGGCAAGGGACUUCAACCAACCAACCCGAGCAUUAUGGAAUAGUGAUCCCUUAUUUCCUGAUUGGUAAACAAUGGAAGCCAAUGAAGGAUUUUUAUUUACAGACUCACCCAGCAGAGCUGAAAUGUCUUGUACAGGCUGGAAGUGAGGAACUUGUCAUCAUCCUGGAGAGAAAUGAUAAAUGUCAAGCUUUGUGAAACAACAUUUCCUGUGCUGGAUAUGCCCCCUCCCCUCAGUCAGAGGUUAACUUUGAAGAGAUACUUUGAAAACCAUUGGCAGCAGAUAUUCAUACAACAACAGAGUAGAACAGCCAUCAAAAGCUGGAAUGAAAAGGUGUUCCAAAUACUUUCCAUUGUACUGGGGAAACACAUUAUUGUUACAACUGAGUAAUCAAGUCAUUGUUACAACUGAGUAAUCAAGUCAGGAGCUUUAUUGCUUCAGUACCAUUUGUCUUGCAAAAAGAUAAUCAUUUCCCACAUUUUCUAAACAAGCAAAGUGUGUGCGGUUAAAUUCCAGAAGGACAAGAGAGUUUCUUGCAGAGCAAACAACGAAUCUCAUGGCAUCUUUAAAAGCUAAUAGAUUUAUUGCGGCUUUAGCUUUGAUAAGACUAGACAUCAUUUCUCACAUGCAUUAAACGGAGUCCCGAGUUAUAUAUAUAUAUAUAUAAACAUGGAUGGAGAAAAGAUAACAAUCAUACACUGAAGUUAAAGACUGUGAAAUCAAAAGACCGUGCCUUCUAAGAUAUCUGCAGAAUAAAAAUGUAUACACAGCACA